rnacentral:lncRNA from 1 species
AAAAUUCGCGGGGUGGUGGUGUUAAAAUUUUGAUUUGAUAGAAAAAAAUUAGACCAUAGUAAGAAAAAAAAAUUGUCAUAAAUUUGAUAGAAAAAAUUUAGACCAUAGUAAGAAAAAAAAAUUUGUCAGAUACACUAAUAACGAUAAUAAACUAAAAAAAGAGUAAGACUGUAAGGACAUAUUUGGUUCAUAAUUGAAAUAGAAAUGAGAAAUGAAAUUGGAUUGUUUUGAAAUGAGAAGUGGAAUGACGAAUCAUUCAAAAAUGUUUGGUUCAUUAUUGGAAUGGAAAUUGGAAUGAAAAUUUAAAAUUUUUUAGAGAGAGUUUUGAUUAAAAAAAAAAAAAAGUGAUGAAGGGAGAGGAGGUAUGUUUUAGAUUUGAUAGAAAAAAAUUCGACCUCGAAUAGCAAGAAAAAAAAUUUGUCAGAUACACUAAUAACGAUAAUAUGCUAAAAAAAGAGCAAGCCUGUAAGGACAUAUUUGGUUCAUGAUUGGAAUAGAAAAGAGAAAUGGAAUUGGAUUGUUUUGUAACGAAAAAUAGAAUGACAAAUCAUUCAAAAAUAUUUGGUUCAUUAUUGGAAUGGAAAUUGGAAUGAAAAUUUAAAAUUUUUGAGAGAGGAUUUUGAUUAAAAAAAAAAAAGUGAUGAAGGAAGAGGAGGUCGGUGUUGGUGAAAGAGGAUUUUGAAUAGUUUAUUUUGGAACGAGCUAAUCCGAAAUUCAAAGCCGGAUUGAAUCAUAAAUGGAUUUGACCAUUCCCAUUCCGGAGUGGAAUGGGAAUCAGAAUUUAAUUCCUAUAAAACAAACGGCAACUAUCAGAAUUAAUGAAUUCCAUUUCGAUUCCAUAGUCUAAAAUAGAUGAACCAAACAUGUCCUAAGAGUUGAAGAAAAAGGAUUAAAAAAUUCGAAAAAAAUUUGAGACACAAAUUUUGUUAAAAAAAUUAAUUUGGCACCCUAAAAUUAAAAUUUAUAAUAUUUUAAUUUUUAUUAUAAAGGACUUUUACAUAAUUUUAAAAAAUUUAGGAGGAGCCAUGGCCACUGUGGGCCCUCAAUAGCUCCGUCCCUGAAUUUUAUAUUGUAAUUAUUUUAUUUAUUUCUUGCGUUUAGUAUAGAGUAUAGACGCGUCUACAAUGCUAAUAAUUUUUUAAGAAAUAUAUUUUUUAAAAAAUUAAAACAUUAAAAAAACAUUUUUUAUAUUAAUUUUUAAAUAAAGUAAGUAAAAAUACCUGAAUUUUUUUUGAAGUAUAUAAGCAUUUGUCUCGUAAAAUGAAUAAUUAUCUAUUAAGAAAAUAUUAGUAAUUAAGUUAGGGAUAAAAGUGAUAUUUUGAAUUUUUUUAAUUUCGAUAGAAAUUUAAUCUGUAUUUAAUUCGAGAUAACUUAACAAGUACUAACAGUAGAAUUAUUUUUGAAUAACGGAGAAAUGUACGAGAAGUAUAUUAAUUUGAAACAAAAAAAGUAGAAGUACAUAAGAUAUUUCACAUAUUUUGAUGGGUAUAUAAAUUUUGUAAUAUUUUAUUAUUAAAAUAAAAUAAAUUUUAUGUAAA